rnacentral:misc_RNA from 1 species
GAAAUGCGAUAAGUAAUGUGAAUUGCAGAAUUCAGUGAAUCAUCGAAUCUUUGAACGCACCUUGCGCUCCUUGGUAUUCCUUGGAGCAUGCCUGUUUGAGUAUCAUGAAACCUUCAAAGUAAAUCUUUUGUUAACUCAAUUGGUUUCUACUUUGGUAUUGGAGGUCUUUGCAGCUUCACACCUGCUCCUCUUUGUUCAUUAGCUGGAUCUCAGUGUUAUGCUUGGUUCCACUCGGCGUGAUAAGUUAUCUAUCGCUGAGGACACUGUAAAAGGUGGCCAAGGUAAAUGCAGAUGAACCGCUUCUAAUAGUCCAUUGACUUGGACAAUACUUUUAUGAUCUGAUCUCAAAUCAGGUAGGACUACCCGCUGAACUUAAGC